rnacentral:rRNA from 1 species
AUUGAACGCUGGCGGCAGGCCUAACACAUGCAAGUCGAGCGGAUGAAGGGAGCUUGCUCCUGGAUUCAGCGGCGGACGGGUGAGUAAUGCCUAGGAAUCUGCCUGGUAGUGGGGGAUAACGUCCGGAAACGGGCGCUAAUACCGCAUACGUCCUGAGGGAGAAAGUGGGGGAUCUUCGGACCUCACGCUAUCAGAUGAGCCUAGGUCGGAUUAGCUAGUUGGUGGGGUAAAGGCCUACCAAGGCGACGAUCCGUAACUGAUCUGAGAGGAUGAUCAGUCACCCUGGACCUGAGACACGGUCUCGACUCCCACGGCAGGCAGCAGUGGGUAAUAUUGGACGUUGCGCGAAAGCCCAGUCCAUCCCUGCCGCGUGUUGGUCGCAGCUCCUCGGGUUCUAAACCACUCUACGGUGUGAGAAAGCGGAGCACGUUGAUACCUUCCUGUUUUGACGCUAGCACCACAAUCUGCACCGGCUAGCUUCGUU